UACAGGGGGGGCAAGCGUUGUUCGGAAUUACUGGGCGUAAAGGGCUCGUAGGCGGCCAACUAAGUCAUACGUGAAAUCCCUCAGCUUAACUGGGGAACUGCGUGUGAUACUGGAUGGCUUGGAUUUGGGAGAGGGAUGCGGAAUUCCAGGUGUAGCGGUGAAAUGCGUAGAUAUCGGAAGGAACAUCAGUGGCGAAAGCGACUUCCUGGACCAGUACCGACGUUCAGGCACGAAAACGUGGGGAGCAAACAGG
rnacentral:rRNA from 1 species